AUAUUACUCGAUUUAUUUCACUUGACUGGGCGGAGUUUAACCAAUUCGCUCACAAUAAACCAGUCCAUCUAUCGAUAGGUGUUUGAGGAUAAACUCAUCAAUGAAGUCCAGUCAUUGUAAAUUCCUUUGAUGAUAGUGAAAGGUGAUUAAAAAUCAGUAAUAAUUAUAACAGCAAUCAUUCUUAUCACACACAUCUUCAAAUAGACUGUCCUUAUUCAAAUUAAAACAGAAGCUCCGCCCGAUCAGUUGAAAUAACAUUGGUAAUAUAAAC
rnacentral:lncRNA from 1 species